UGAACGCUGGCGGCAUGCCUUACACAUGCAAGUCGAACGGUAACGCGGGGCAACCUGGCGACGAGUGGCGAACGGGUGAGUAAUACAUCGGAACGUGCCCAAUCGUGGGGGAUAACGUAGAGAAAUUUACGCUAAUACCGCAUGAGAUCUGCGGAUGAAAGCAGGGGAUCGCAAGACCUUGCGCGAUUGGAGCGGCUGAUGUCAGAUUAGGUAGUUGGUGGGGUAAAGGCCCACCAAGCCGACGAUCUGUAGCUGGUUUGAGAGAACGACCAGCCACACUGGGACUGAGACACGGCCCAGACUCCUACGGGAGGCAGCAGUGGGGAAUUUUGGACAAUGGGCGAAAGCCUGAUCCAGCAAUGCCGCGUGCAGGAAGAAGGCCUUCGGUUGUAACUGCUUUGUACGGAACGAAAAGACUCUGGCUAAUACCCGGGGUCCGACUGACGGUACCGUAAGAAUAAGCACCGGCUAACUACGCGCCAGCAG
rnacentral:rRNA from 1 species